CCGAUCAGCUGAUUUUUGUUUUGAUUCUCGAGGAAAGGUCAUGCGUUAGUCCCUUCAAAAGAACUCUUAAUCAAUCAGAAUUCCGAAGAAACAAGAGCAAAACGAAGGGAGCGGGGAUAAGUAGACUUCCAGCAUCUGCUCUAAAUGUGUAAUGCGUUAUCGAUGUCUAUAAAUAGUGCAACGACGUCCAAAAUGAAGCGGAUUCUUGGUAGACUCUCAUACGUGUCGGAGGUUGGCAGAAAAAGAAUUAAUACUAUUCGUGAUCAUAAUUCUUCUGUGAAAACUCUUCGUCCUACAUCCUCUCGCGAAGAGUAUGCACAGUCUGCUCUUGCGCAGCGGAAUAUUUUUAGCUUUAUGUCCAAAGAGCAGUUGCAAACUCCACCCGCUCCAUUGCAAAUUCGGCGCUACGCCUCCAACUUGUCACAGGAGAAUUGCAACUCCGGGAGGCUUCUAGAGUACUUGCACUUCCACCAGGAGACCAGUGUGGAAACCCGAGAAGCUGUCUCGUCAUCCUUUGUAGUUCUGAGAGACUUUGUUACGGAAGAAGAGGAAAAAACGCUCUUAAAAGAAGUUGAACCACAUUUGAAGAGACUGCAUUAUGAACACGACCACUGGGAUGAUGCAAUACAUGGCUUUCGAGAAACAGAGAGGUCCAAGUGGGGGAAAGCCUCGUCAAAGAUCCUGGCCAAGUUGCAAGAAUUUGCUUUUCCUAACCAAGAUGAAAAGUUGGCUCUGGUGCACAUCCUGGAUCUAGCCAAGACUGGAGUGAUUAAGCCUCAUGUCGACAGCAUCAGGGGACGCAUCUCGAUACAACUACACUCACGAGGUCCUGGGAGAGAAGGAAUCCUAUUUCGGUUCAGUGCCAGUGCCAAGGGAAAGGAGGAUCUCUAUCAUGUGCCGCAAUUACCCGAGAGAGGAGGAUGUGUCCUAAUAUGGGAGAAGGUAAUGAGAAGAGAUUCUUCCACACGUCAAGACCGCUCUCUGGAAUACACGACGAUGGGUCUUGGACGGUGCAUCUGAAAGUGGCCAAUUCGUGACUCACUGAACUUCUUGUGAUUUCAGAGAUUCGGCCACACAAGAAUAGGGAUCCAGUCGACAUGUAUAGCAGAGAUGUAAGCAUUUGUUAAAAAUAAAUGUAUGUUCACUU
rnacentral:misc_RNA from 1 species